rnacentral:rRNA from 1 species
UGGGGGAUUUUGCACAAUGGGCGCAAGCCUGAUGCAGCGACGCCGCGUGAGGGAUGAAGGCCUUCGGGUUGUAAACCUCUUUCGCUGGGUUGAAAGGCCAUGCUUUGGGUGUGGUUGAUUUGAACUGGUAAAGAAGUACCGGCUAACUACGUGCCAGCAGCCGCGGUAAUACGUAGGGUACUAGCGUUGUCCGGAUUUAUUGGGCGUAAAGGGCUUGUAGGUGGUUUGUCGCGUCUGUCGUGAAAUCCUGUGGCUUAACCAUGGGCUUGCGGUGGGUACGGGCAGGCUUGAGUGCGGUAGGGGAUACUGGAAUUCCUGGUGUAGCGGUGGAAUGCGCAGAUAUCAGGAGGAACACCGGUGGCGAAGGCGGGUCUCUGGGCCGUUACUGACACUGAGGAGCGAAAGCGUGGGGAGCGAACAGG